CUACGGAGGGUGCAAGCGUUACUCGGAAUCACUGGGCGUAAAGCGCGCGCAGGCGGGCUGGUAAGUUGGAUGUGAAAGCCUACGGCUCAACCGUAGAACUGCAUCCAAAACUGUCAGUCUAGAGUGUGGGAGAGGAAGAUGGAAUUAGUUGUGUAGGGGUAAAAUCCGUAGAGAUAACUAGGAAUACCAAAAGCGAAGGCAAUCUUCUGGAACACUACUGACGCUGAGGCGCGAAGGCGUGGGGAGCGAACAGGAUUAGAAACCCCGGUAGUCC
rnacentral:rRNA from 1 species